GACGAACGCUGGCGGCGUGCUUAACACAUGCAAGUCGAACGGUGAAGCGCCUUCCUUUUUGGUGGGUGUGGAUGAGUGGCGAACGGGUGAGUAACACGUGAGUAACCUGCCCCCUUCUUCUGGAUAACCGCAUGAAAGUGUAGCUAAUACGGGAUAUUCUGGGUCUGUCGCAUGAUGGGUCUGGGAAAGAUAUUGUUUCGGUGGGGGAUGGGCUCGCGGCCUAUCAGCUUGUUGGUGGGGUGAUGGCCUACCAAGGCGGUGACGGGUAGCCGGCCUGAGAGGGUGGACGGUCACACUGGGACGGAGACACGGCCCAGACUCCUACGGGAGGCAGCAGUGGGGAAUAUUGCACAAUGGGAGCAAGGCUGAUGCAGCGACGCCGCGUGAGGGAUGGAGGCCUUCGGGUUGUGAACCUCUUUCGCCAGUGAAGCAGGCCUGCCUCGUUUGUGGGUGGGUUGACGGUAGCUGGAUAAGAAGCGCCGGCUAACUACGUG
rnacentral:rRNA from 1 species